rnacentral:tRNA from 1 species
UCGAAAUUGGUAGACGCUGCGGACUUAAAAUCCAUUGGCUUUAUAGACCGUGAGGGUUCAAGUCCCUCUACCCCCA